AUUUAGAUUAGCGAUUAGUUUAAUUGUUUUACCUUCUUUUUGUCCAAAUUCUCAUAAAGAUCAAGGUAACUUUGUUUAGAAAUGAGAACCGAUUCAGCUGAUGUUAUGCAACCCGAACAAGCUAAACAAUCACCUAAGGCCUGAAAGAAGAAGAAAAGAAAUUGAUUACAAUCAAUUAAAUUGGAAUAACAAUUAAAUUUGAGAAGGAAAAAGAGAAAAUGGAAAUGGAAAGUGUUUAUGUUUUACCUGUGAUGGAGCAAUAAAAUCAUUAAGAUCGGUUAAUUGGAGAACCGAACUGAAGCCAGGGCCAGUUGACAUGUUGACCAAUUCGAUAAAUUGUUCCGAUCAGCGAAAAUUUCGUACUUUAAUUGGUGAUAAUUGUACGAAAUAAAAAAAAAGCUUCAGGAAAAACGAAAAACGAAACAAUAACAAACUCAAUAUUCAUCAAAA